rnacentral:rRNA from 1 species
UACGUAGGGUCCGAGCGUUGUCCGGAAUUAUUGGGCGUAAAGGGCUCGUAGGCGGUUUGUCGCGUCGGGAGUGAAAACUCAGGGCUCAACCCUGAGCGUGCUUCCGAUACGGGCAGACUAGAGGUAUGCAGGGGAGAACGGAAUUCCUGGUGUAGCGGUGGAAUGCGCAGAUAUCAGGAGGAACACCGGUGGCGAAGGCGGUUCUCUGGGCCUUACCUGACGCUGGAGGAGCGAAAGCGUGGGGAGCAAACAGG